UACGGAGGGUGCGAGCGUUGUUCGGAAUUACUGGGCGUAAAGCGCGUGUAGGCGGCCUUCUAAGUCUGGUGUGAAAGCCCGGGGCUCAACCCCGGAAGUGCAUUGGAUACUGGGAGGCUGGAGUACCGGAGAGGAGGGUGGAAUUCCUGGUGUAGCGGUGAAAUGCGUAGAUAUCAGGAGGAACACCGGUGGCGAAGGCGGCCCGCUGGACGGAUACUGACGCUGAGACGCGAAAGCGUGGGGAGCAAACAGG
rnacentral:rRNA from 1 species